AUGCUUGUAAAUUUUUGAGAGUUGAGCAUUAGAAUAUAAGAAAACAAAGACUUCGGAUGUUGUUUUUCGUUUCUAAAUUAAUUUUAAUAAAAACGAAUGUCACUUUCGCAUAAAUAAAAAGAAGAAUAACAUGUUUUACAUUUUUCUGAAAAAAAUGUUUUAUAGUGUAAAAUUAUCUUUGUAUUUCACUUUUUCACAAAGAAGCAGAGCCGAUAGAGAUGAUGAAUAAGAGAAAAAACGUGGUCAAGAUUUGCGUUGUGAAGCGAGUGAGUUGUUAAGCGUAGGGAGCAGGUCAGUCACGUGACUUUCAGACUGGGACAGUCAGACCAAAAGGUCAGAUAUCAUUAAAGUAUGUAUACGUACUCUUUUAUUUUCUACUCCAUCUGCAUAGUACACAUCCAUAAUAAACAAUACAGUAAUAACUUUGUUUUUUCACUGCUUCAAAUAAAACAACUACUGCACGUUUAUAGACAGAGCUAACGUAAUUUGUGUCAACGAACUUACUGUAAUUUACUAGCGAUGACUGAGCUUGAAAUCUUUGUCUUUUAAAUUGUCCUGUAAUUUUAUUUUGUCUAAAGCUAAAGCUCUAAGCUCCAUUUUUGCAUGUAUUAUCAUUUUAUACUAUUGUCCCCGUAUCUAAAAAUUUGUCACAAAAAAAAAAAAUUAUUUCAGUCAUUUGAGAUUCUCAUAUACACUUUAUACUCGGUAAAUUUUAAGGCACCGUUUAAUUCUUAUCGUGGUAUCUUUAUAGUUACUAAACACUAUUUAUUUUUAUUUGAACCGUCUGUCUUUAUUCGCUUACACUACAUAUUCUCCAGCCAGUUGAGUUUUCAGUUUUACGAGAUUGUGUUACAUAUAUGUAUAGCUCUCUCUCUUUAAUGUUAUAUCGACAAAAGCGAUGGUGUUGCGUAAAACUAUUUUUAAACGAAACUUAUUCCGAACGAAUCUGGAUAAUGUUUUAUAUGAUUUGUAAAUAUGCACUAUAUGUGUAAAGUUUGUAGUUCCGAGACGUAUUAUUAACAUAAUCAUUAUUCGGCGAAAAUAUGAUACAAUCAGAUUCAUUAGAUGUGGACCCUAAAGUCCCAUUAUCAUUCUUCUUUAGUGGGCCUCAAGUUAUCCUAGUAGUAUGUAAAUUCGAAUGAAUAUCGUUACUUCUUUCUUUCUACUUCAUUAUUUCCAGUUCAUUUAAAAUGAUUCAUGGGAUCAGUUCAUUUUCAUUAAUACUUCAUUAAUAUAUUUUAUGUUUCAACGAUAAACAAAUCGUUUCUAGUUGAAGUUUAUUCAAUGGUUCAUUUAAUAAGUUUAUAUGGAGUUUGGUUUUUCAACUAGUUAAUGCGACGCACUCUUCGAAACAAAAAAAUGUUUUUUUCCAACUAGUUUAUAUCGUUACUUUUUUUUUUUUUUUUUUUUUUUUUUUUAAAUCGGCGCGUCCACCCAACGCGCCCCCAAUUAUCUCUCUCGAAACCUAAUCUCCUCGAUCCAAAUCGUCGCUCUCCCCUAGCCUCUCCGGCGCCAUCUGGUGCUGCGAGAGGGCCAUACAAUCUCCCGCUGUGUCCAUCUCCACCUCUUCCCUUCGUUGUUCUCCGCUCGGUUUGCCGCUUUGCUUGGCGCCUCUGGAUCUGUUGGUUUCCUCCACCGGAUAGUCGGAUUCAAAGUCGUCUUUGGUUCCUCUGGAGCUCCGGCGAGGCAAGAAGAGUCGGGGUUAUCUUAGGGCUGGCCCUUGGGUCUCCUGUUAGUCGCCGUUUGUGCUCGAAGUUGGGUCAACUUUGAGAUCCGAUACAGCCGGAACACCAGACGCGUCGCUGCCGUCGUCGUUUCAGCCUCUACAUCUCGCUCCAGUCGGCUUCUCUAUCAAGUCUCUCCAAGGGUCUCCGUAGAGCUUCUCCUCUCUUUGAGUGAAAGAUGGCUAUGAGGUAAGCCAUCGAGGACCUCUUUCUUUAGUUCGAAAGACAACAACCAUGGUGGUCUCUGGUUCAAGUUUGGUAACUUCUUCUUGCUACCGAUGUUGUUCACUGAGGUCUUGAGGACAACCCUAGUCACGAUGUCACCUGCUUCAAGGAGUAGCCUUUUUCUACCAUGAGCCGUCUGUUUUCAAGGAGUUUAAUCGCUUCUUCUAUUCGUCAAUUCCAUCCUCCUAAGCUCCGAUUUCUAGAUUCAGUGUGCCCUGAAGUUGAUGUUGUACCCAUUGUGUCGCGCAGCCGGAUAGGGAGCCAAACAGACCGCCUGCGCUUGACCGCAACGUGUGCUUUAUUGUAAAUGGCGUCGAAGUCAGGUUUACACCUUAGCUAACACCGAGAAAGCUUGAGUUUUGUUGGCCAGUGUCCUCCUCCAGCGGAGCUCCGGGAUGGGAGCCAGCUGUCACCGUCGAUGCCUGCUGCGAGCCACCUCGGUGAGACCUGACUAAACACUUCUCAUGGCUUUACUCUCGCAGUCUCAGGUUGCUCCUUUGAUUUGAGAAGUGCUUGGGAUGGGGAGAUUAAACUGUUAGUCUUUAGUUCUGUUUUGGUAUUAUGUUCAAGCUUCCAUUGUUUGGUUAGGACUGAUCAUAAUCUCUUUGGGGUUUAGGAGUUUUUUUAAACUUUUUUGCACCUCUAAGCUUUCAGAAUGGCUGAAAAGUAAAUUAGGUUGCAUUAACAUGUAAUCAAACCUUCAUUGUUUUCAAUGACAUUUACGAUUUAGCA